rnacentral:rRNA from 1 species
UACGUAGGGGGCAAGCGUUGUCCGGAAUCAUUGGGCGUAAAGAGCGUGUAGGCGGUCCGAUAAGUCCGCUCUGAAAGCCCGGGGCUCAACCCCGGGAGGCGGGCGGAUACUGUCGGGCUAGAGUCCGGAAGAGGCAAGUGGAAUUCCUGGUGUAGCGGUGAAAUGCGCAGAUAUCAGGAGGAACACCGAUGGCGAAGGCAGCUUGCUGGGACGGUACUGACGCUGAGGCGCGAAAGCUAGGGGAGCAAACGGG